rnacentral:lncRNA from 1 species
AGUGAAUCACGUUCAGAGCUUUCUCUUCCUGAUUCUGGGGAAACAUCUGUCACAGAGGGAGGAAAAGUAGAAACUUCCAAUGGCAAAGCCAAAAAUGCAAACACAAGGCAAAAGUGAAUCAAGCAUUCCCUCAGCAAAGGCCAGGAGAUUCUCCACGACUAUCUCCACAGGUCCUUGCCAUGUGGGGAUCCAAGUCAGGCCUUGCCAUAAGGAGAUCUAUCAGGGUUACAGUAGUACACCUCUCUGAGCAGAGGCUUGGUCACCAACAACACCACCAACACCAGAUGCCUUGGAAAUGGAGUUACAGACACCAGGUAUAAACUACCAUUUGUGUUCUUAGAAACAAACCUAGCACCUCUGUAAGAGUAGGAUGUGUUUUUUAAAGGCUGUGCAGUGUCUGCAGGCCUCAUCUAAUGGGUUUUUAAGUGAAACUCAAUUCAGCUGCUGUUCAAACAUCAAUUUUUCGAAGCCAAAUAUUGUAAAGCAGUACAACUUGAGUCAUACAAUUUUGAAGCGUGGUGUUGAGUGACAGUAUGAAAAUAUUAAAAGUAUUUAUUCCUGUCAUUUGAAACAUAUUGUUUCUGUAAGAGCAGAAAACCUUGUGUGCACAGUAAAAAGAAGAAGAAAAAACCUGCAGUUUUUGAGAUACGCUAAUCUUGCAGCUGAACAGAGCUGUUUCAGGCAGUGUUUUGGUACUGGGUGUUGUGGCAUGCACAGUGCAAAGUUCAGGUGCUUCAUGCAAAGAACCAAGGCUGAAAUCACAUGAUGCAACCUGGGGGCGUCUGGGAAAGCCUUGGAUUUGUUACAUACUUGAUUGUGAGUUGAGUUAUGGCUGUGUGUGCCUCGAAGCUUGUUACCCUUGAAUUCAUACAGGAUCAUAAGCCACAGCAAAAGAAGCUACAGGGGAGAGGAUGGCAUUUGAAGCUUAAUAACUUUAUAGAAGAUGGAGAAAAAUGAAGAGACACACAGAUGCAUUCUGCCCCUUGCCACAUGAGCCCUGUACUGCCUCAGGACUGCCAGUACAAAGAGCAUGGCUGCCUGCAACCUUCAGCCUUAUACAUCCAGAACUUUACCCCAAAUAACUCUCCUUCCUGAGUUCCAAGACAGCCAGGGCUACACAGAGAAACCCUGUCUCGAAAAAACCAAAAGG